rnacentral:rRNA from 1 species
UACGUAGGGCGCAAGCGUUGUCCGGAAUUAUUGGGCGUAAAGAGCUCGUAGGCGGCCUGUUGCGUCCGCUGUGAAAUCCCGGGGCUUAACCCCGGGCCUGCAGUGGAUACGGGCAGGCUGGAGGCAGGCAGGGGAGAACGGAAUUCCCGGUGUAGCGGUGAAAUGCGCAGAUAUCGGGAGGAACACCAGUGGCGAAGGCGGCUCACUGGACCGGCAUUGACGCUGAGGUGCGAAAGCGUGGGGAGCAAACAGG